GGGUAACCUACCUAUAAGACUGGGACAACUUCGGGAAACCGGAGCUAAUACCGGAUAAGAUAUCGAACCGCAUGGUUCGAUAGUGGAAGAUGGUUUUGCUAUCACUUAUAGAUGGACCCGCGCCGUAUUAGCUAGUUGGUGAGGUAACGGCUCACCAAGGCAACGAUACGUAGCCGACCUGAGAGGGUGAUCGGCCACACUGGAACUGAGACACGGUCCAG
rnacentral:rRNA from 1 species